AGCAGCCGCGGUAAUUCCAGCUCCAAUAGCGUAUAUUAAAGUUGUUGCAGUUAAAAAGCUCGUAGUUGAAUUUCGGGGUUAGUAGGUUGGUCGUGCCUCAGGUAUGUACUGAUCUCACUGAUUCCUCCCUCCUGAUGAACCGUAAUGCCAUUAAUUUGGUGUUGCGGGGAAACUGGACUGUUACUUUGAAAAAAUUAGAGUGUUUAAAGCAGGCUAACGCUUGAAUACAUUAGCAUGGAAUAAUGAAAUAGGACGUUCGAUCCUAUUUUGUUGGUUUCUAGGAUUGACGUAAUGAUUAAUAGGGAUAGUUGGGGGCAUUAGUAUUCAAUUGUCAGAGGUGAAAUUCUUGGAUUUAUUGAAGACUAACUACUGCGAAAGCAUUUGCCAAGGAUGUUUUCAUUAAUCAAGAACGAAAGUUAGGGAUCGAAGACGAUCAGAUACCGUCGUAGUCUUAACCAUAAACUAUAGACCGACUAGGGAUCGGAUGAUGUACUAAUUUUUUAAUGUACUCAUUCGGCGU
rnacentral:rRNA from 1 species